GACGAACGCUGGCGGCGUGCUUAACACAUGCAAGUCGAGCGGUAAGGCCCUUUCGGGGGUACACGAGCGGCGAACGGGUGAGUAACACGUGGGUGACCUGCCCUCAGCUCUGGGAUAAGCCUGGGAAACCGGGUCUAAUACUGGAUAUGACUCCAUGACGCAUGUUGUGGGGUGGAAAGCCUUGUGCGGCUGAGGAUGGGCCCGCGGCCUAUCAGCUUGUUGGUGGGGUGAUGGCCUAACCAAGGCGACGACGGGUAGCCGGCCUGAGAGGGCGACCGGCCACACUGGGACUGAGACACGGCCCAGACUCCUACGGGAGGCAG
rnacentral:rRNA from 1 species